rnacentral:rRNA from 1 species
AUUGAACGCUGGCGGCAGGCCUAACACAUGCAAGUCGAGCGGAUGAAGGGAGCUUGCUCCUGGAUUCAGCGGCGGACGGGUGAGUAAUGCCUAGGAAUCUGCCUGGUAGUGGGGGAUAACGUCCGGAAACGGGCGCUAAUACCGCAUACGUCCUGAAGGAGAAAGUGGGGGAUCUUCGGACCUCACGCUAUCAGAUGAGCCUAGGUCGGAUUAGCUAGUUGGUGGGGUAAUGGCCUACCAAGGCGACGAUCCGUAACUGGUCUGAGAGGAUGAUCAGUCACACUGGAACUGAGACACGGUCCAGACUCCUACGGGAGGCAGCAGUGGGGAAUAUUGGACAAUGGGCGAAAGCCUGAUCCAGCCAUGCCGCGUGUGUGAAGAAGGUCUUCGGAUUGUAAAGCACUUUAAGUUGGGAGGAAGGGCAGUAAGUUAAUACCUUGCUGUUUUGACGUUACCAACAGAAUAAGCACCGGCUAACUUCGUG